AUCAAUGAGAGAUUUAUUAUUGACAAAAUAUUUAUAAUUGACAAUAAUAAUAAGCUUUUCCCAAAACGACGUAACCUUGUCGCUAAUAAAUAACAAACCCACAACUUACAAACACUUUUAAUUUAACCCAGCUCUAAAGAUCGAGCCGUCGGCUAACCCUUUUUAGCCUGCGGUUCGAACCCAAAUCACACAACCCAAGUUUUACAACCUUAUUCAUCGGCGGUGGUCCAAGUCAUGUCAUUCUCGAAUAUCCAGUGGCAAACCUCGAUCCGACCCGGACCCGAACCUAAAGCCAAGAAAGCACCAUGGGUGGAGCUCCAAGAGGAAGUAUCCAGGUGACAUACGGCAACGCCGUGGUUGAUUUUCGCCUUGCUAUUCCGAUCCAAGAUGUCCGCUUCGUAAACCCGAACUUUGGGAACCGAGUGGCAGUAAUAGAGCAGGUACGGGAACAAGCUCUGGUGACAAGAUACUGACUUGGUCACUCUACCACCGUUGAUACCUUUGACCGAUCCGAUCAUGAUAUUCUUCUUUGACCCCUUCACGUUUUCAGUCGUACGAACCACCACAUUGCGGCCUAGGACGGAGGUGGCGAAGUCGAUUAAGUCCUCGGCGGAGCCAACGCAGCGCUUGGUCUCGCCGGGGCUAGGUGCUCUCUCGCACUCGUCAAGAGCGUCCAUAAUUAUGUUCUCCAUGGU
rnacentral:misc_RNA from 1 species